CAUCCCGGCUUACCAACCCGAUGCAAACUGCGAAUACCGGAGAAUGUUAUCACGGGAGACACACGGCGGGUGCUAACGUCCGUCGUGAAGAGGGAAACAACCCAGACCGCCAGCUAAGGUCCCAAAGUCAUGGUUAAGUGGGAAACGAUGUGGGAAGGCCCAGACAGCCAGGAUGUUGGCUUAGAAGCAGCCAUCAUUUAAAGAAAGCGUAAUAGCUCACUGGUCGAGUCGGCCUGCGCGGAAGAUGUAACGGGGCUAAACCAUGCACCGAAGCUGCGGCAGCGACACUGUGUGUUGUUGGGUAGGGGAGCGUUCUGUAAGCCUGUGAAGGUGGCCUGUGAGGGUUGCUGGAGGUAUCAGAAGUGCGAAUGCUGACAUAAGUAACGAUAAAGCGGGUGAAAAGCCCGCUCGCCGGAAGACCAAGGGUUCCUGUCCAACGUUAAUCGGGGCAGGGUGAGUCGACCCCUAAGGCGAGGCCGAAAGGCGUAGUCGAUGGGAAACGGGUUAAUAUUCCCGUACUUGGUGUUACUGCGAAGGGGGGACGGAGAAGGCUAUGUUGGCCGGGCGACGGUUGUCCCGGUUUAAGCGUGUAGGUGUGUGUUCCAGGUAAAUCCGGUUCACUUUAACACUGAGGCGUGAUGACGAGGCACUACGGUGCUGAAGCAACAAAUGCCCUGCUUCCAGGAAAAGCCUCUAAGCAUCAGGUAACAUCAAAUCGUACCCCAAACCGACACAGGUGGUCAGGUAGAGAAUACCAAGGCGCUUGAGAGAACUCGGGUGAAGGAACUAGGCAAAAUGGUGCCGUAACUUCGGGAGAAGGCACGCUGACACGUAGGUGAAGUGAUUUACUCAUGGAGCUGAAGUCAGUCGAAGAUACCAGCUGGCUGCAACUGUUUAUUAAAAACACAGCACUGUGCAAACACGAAAGUGGACGUAUACGGUGUGACGCCUGCCCGGUGCCGGAAGGUUAAUUGAUGGGGUCAGCGCAAGCGAAGCUCCUGAUCGAAGCCCCGGUAAACGGCGGCCGUAACUAUAACGGUCCUAAGGUAGCGAAAUUCCUUGUCGGGUAAGUUCCGACCUGCACGAAUGGCGUAAUGAUGGCCAGGCUGUCUCCACCCGAGACUCAGUGAAAUUGAACUCGCUGUGAAGAUGCAGUGUACCCGCGGCAAGACGGAAAGACCCCGUGAACCUUUACUAUAGCUUGACACUGAACAUUGAGCCUUGAUGUGUAGGAUAGGUGGGAGGCUUUGAAGUGUGGACGCCAGUCUGCAUGGAGCCGACCUUGAAAUACCACCCUUUAAUGUUU
rnacentral:rRNA from 1 species